CUGAGGGAUUCCUUCCCAGAGGCCACUCCAAGGUCCUGGAGCCUAUGAUGACAGAAAGGCCAGGUCUCCAGGAGAAAUGGGAUUGAGAACCCCCGAGAUUCGAGGCGGGGGUUCUCCAUUUCGCGUCCCUUGAACGUUAGCAAAGUCUACUUGAAAAUGCCUGCCUGUCUCGGGUGCCACAAUGCUGAGGGGCAUUUGGUGAACGUUUGUUUGAGCACAGCCGUGAUUGUUUUUCUUAAAUUAUUUUCCCACUCUGCAAGCCGUGGAUCUUCGGAGGAAGGAAAGAAUGUGCGAUCCCAUUUUCCCCCUUCCAUAUGGAGACUUCAUGGACAUUCUGUCUGCCAAACCUCCUCCCUGUGAAAGCCUCUGGAAACCCACGUUUUUGCACGUGUGUGAGUCAGAGGACAACUUUCAGGAGUUGGCUUCCCUUUUCCCACUCUCCUGGAUAGCUUUCUGUCAACUUGACACACGGGGAUGCUACCUGAGAGGAGAGAAACUCAACUGAGAAAAUGCCCCUACAAGAUCCGGCUGUGGGCAAGCCUGGAGGACAUUUUCUUAAUUAAUGAUUGAUGGGGGAGGGUCCAGCCUGUUGUGGGUGGGGCCAUCCCUGAGCUGGUAAAGCCUGAGCAAGACAUGAGGAGCAAGCCAGUAAGAGCACCCCUCCAUGGCCUCUGCCUCAGCUCCUGCCUCCAGGUUCCUGCCCUGUUUGAGUUCCUGUCCUGACUCUCCAAGGUUGGACUGAAAUAUGGAAGCAUAAGCCAAAUAAACCCUUUUUCC